CCUGGCUCAGAUUGAACGCUGGCGGCAUGCUUUACACAUGCAAGUCGAACGGCAGCGCGGGGCAACCUGGCGGCGAGUGGCGAACGGGUGAGUAAUAUAUCGGAACGUACCCAAGAGUGGGGGAUAACGUAGCGAAAGUUACGCUAAUACCGCAUACGAUCYAAGGAUGAAAGCAGGGGACCGCAAGGCCUUGUGCUCCUGGAGCGGCCGAUAUCUGAUUAGCUAGUUGGUGAGGUAAAGGCUCACCAAGGCGACGAUCAGUAGCUGGUCUGAGAGGACGACCAGCCACACUGGGACUGAGACACGGCCCAGACUCCUACGGGAGGCAGCAGUGGGGAAUUUUGGACAAUGGGCGAAAGCCUGAUCCAGCAAUGCCGCGUGAGUGAAGAAGGCCUUCGGGUUGUAAAGCUCUUUUGUCAGGGAAGAAACGGCUGAGGAUAAUACCUUUGGCUAAU
rnacentral:rRNA from 1 species